AGUGGAUGGGGAGCAACCUAGUUGUGAGUGCGGAAAGGUAGUGCCAAGAAAAGCUGUCAGAAUGAUGAGAAUUGAGUCCCGGUACCCGAAACCGACACAGGUAGGCAUAGAGAAUACUAAGGGGCGCGAGGUAACUCUCUCCAAGGAACUCGGCAAAAUGACCCCGUAACUUAGGGAGAAGGGGUGCCACCGAGAGGUGGUCGCAGUGAAGAGGCCCAGGCGACUGUUUAGCAAAAACAUAGGUCUCUGCAAACUCGAAAGAGGAAGUAUAGGGGCUGACGCCUGCCCAGUGCCGGAAGGUUAAAGAAGUUGGUCAGGAGAAAUCUGAAGCUGGCGACUGAAGCCCCGGUGAACGGCGGCCGUAACUAUAACGGUCCUAAGGUAGCGAAAUUCCUUGUCGGGUAAGUUCCGACCCGCACGAAAGGCGUAACGAUCUGGGCGCUGUCUCGGAGAGAGGCUCGGCGAAAUAGGAUUGUCUGUGAAGAUACGGACUACCUGCAUUUGGACAGAAAGACCCUAUGAAGCUUUACUGCAGCUUGAAAUUGUGUUCGGGCUUCCUGUGCGCAGGAUAGGUGGGAGGCUAGGAAGGUCUGCUUGUGGGCAGAUUGGAGCCAACCGUGAGAUACCACUCUCAGGAGGCUAGAAUUCUAACUUAAUUAAGGACAGUUUCAGGUGGGCAGUUUGACUGGGGCGGUCGCCUCCAAAAAGGUAACGGAGGCGUACAAAGGUUCCCUCACACUGGUUGGAAAUCAGUGGCAGAGUGCAAAGGCAGAAGGGAGCUUGACUGCGAGACGGACAAGUCGAGCAGGGUGGAAACACGGUCUUAGUGAUCCGACGGUGCUGUGUGGAAGGGCCGUCGCUCAACGGAUAAAAGUUACUCUAAGGAUAACAGGCUGAUCUCCCCCAAGAGUUCACAUCGACGGGGAGGUUUGGCACCUCGAUGUCGGCUCAUCGCAACCUGGGGCGGAAGUACGUCCCAAGGGUUGGGCUGUUCGCCCAUUAAAGCGGUACGUGAGCUGGGUUCAGAACGUCGUGAGACAGUUCGGUCCAUAUCCGAUGUAGGCGUGAGAAUAUUGAGAGGAGCCUUCCUUAGUACGAGAGGACCGGGAAGGACGCACCGCUGGUGUACCUGUUAUGAUGCCAAUCGUAAACGCAGGGUAGCCAAGUGCGGAGAGGAUAACCGCUGAAAGCAUCUAAGUGGGAAGCCCACCUCAAGAUGAGUAUUCUGGUGUAAGGUCACGGGGAGACGACCCGUAGAUAGGCACGAGGUGGAAGUGCAGAGAUGUAUGAAGCCGAAGUGUACUAAUAGACCGUCGGCUUGACC
rnacentral:rRNA from 1 species